AGCGAACGCUGGCGGCAGGCCUAACACAUGCAAGUCGAACGAAGUCUUCGGACUUAGUGGCGGACGGGUGAGUAACACGUGGGAACGUACCUUUUGGUUCGGAACAACUCAGGGAAACUUGAGCUAAUACCGAAUGUGCCCUUCGGGGGAAAGACUUAUCGCCAUUAGAGCGGCCCGCGUUAGAUUAGCUAGUUGGUGGGGUAAAGGCCCACCAAGGCUACGAUCUAUAGCUGGUCUGAGAGGAUGAUCAGCCACACUGGGACUGAGACACGGCCCAGACUCCUACGGGAGGCAGCAGUGGGGAAUCUUGCGCAAUGGGCGAAAGCUUGACGCAGCCAUGCCGCGUGAAUGAUGAAGGUCUUAGGAUUGUAAAAUUCUUUCAGUAGGGACGAUAAUGACGGUACCUACAGAAGAAGCCCCGGCUAACUUCGUGCCAGCCGCCGCCGUAA
rnacentral:rRNA from 1 species